rnacentral:rRNA from 1 species
UACGGAGGGGGCUAGCGUUGUUCGGAAUUACUGGGCGUAAAGCGCGCGUAGGCGGACCUGCAAGUCGGGGGUGAAAGCCCGAGGCUCAACCUCGGAACUGCCUUCGAUACUGCGGGUCUCGAGUCCGGAAGAGGUGAGUGGAAUUCCUAGUGUAGAGGUGAAAUUCGUAGAUAUUCGCAAGAACACCAGUGGCGAAGGCGGCUGACUGGUCCGGUUCUGACGCUGAGGCGCGAAAGCGUGGGGAGCAAACAGG